UUCUCUGCAGCUCAGUUGGUUAGAGAGCUGCACCAGAAUCGCAGGACCGCGGGUUCGAUUCCUGCCAGAGGAC